UGGACAGAACAACAGAGACUGAAGUUUUCUAUACAUAAAACAGAUACAGCAGGAGCAGCAGCAGUGCAAGCCUCCCUACACUGCCCCCUGGCUCAUAUGACUCAGUCCUGACGUGGAGUGAUCACCGCUAAGGGUGAGAGGGUGGCUUAAUGCCCAUGCCUAUUCCAUCCCUCAUUUCU
rnacentral:sRNA from 1 species